AACGAACGCUGGCGGCAUGCCUAACACAUGCAAGUCGAACGAGACCUUCGGGUCUAGUGGCGCACGGGUGCGUAACGCGUGGGAACCUGCCCUUCGGUUCGGAAUAACUCCCCGAAAGGGGUGCUAAUACCGGAUAAUGUCUUCGGACCAAAGCUUUAUCGCCUUUGGAUGGGCCCGCGUUGGAUUAGCUAGUUGGUAGGGUAAAAGCCUACCAAGGCGACGAUCCAUAGCUGGUCUGAGAGGAUGAUCAGCCACACUGGGACUGAGACACGGCCCAGACUCCUACGGGAGGCAGCAGUGGGGAAUAUUGGACAAUGGGCGAAAGCCUGAUCCAGCAAUGCCGCGUGAGUGAUGAAGGCCUUAGGGUUGUAAAGCUCUUUUACCCGGGAUGAUAAUGACAGUACCGGGAGAAUAAGCUCCGGCUAACUCCGUG
rnacentral:rRNA from 1 species